rnacentral:rRNA from 1 species
AGAGUGAACGCUGGCGGUAGGCCUAACACAUGCAAGUCGAACGGCAGCACAGUGGUAGCAAUACCAUGGGUGGCGAGUGGCGGACGGGUGAGGAAUACAUCGGAAUCUACCUUUUCGUGGGGGAUAACGUAGGGAAACUUACGCUAAUACCGCAUACGCCCUUCGGGGGAAAGCCGGGAUCGCAAGACCUGGCGCGGAUAGAUGAGCCGAUGUAGGAUUAGCUAGUUGGUGAGGUAAAGGCUCACCAAGGCGACGAUCCUUAGCUGGUCUGAGAGGAUGAUCAGCCACACUGGGACUGAGACACGGCCCAGACU